GUUGGGCUUGUAGGGAAUAGACUAAAUAAACCACAUGCACUCACACUCAUCGGGCCACUAUCGUUGGACCACAAUCCAAUAGAGCCUCCCAGAAUUCCAUAACAGACUUCAACAGGUUUAUCUAGAGAGAUGCCUUAACGAGCAUUUAAAACUGAAAUGAUUAGAGAUGCCUUAACGAGAUAUCGAUAGUUUAUGGAAGAAUCUGAUAGCCCUUUCCUUUCCCUGCUAUACAGUUUUGUCAUGAAUUCAUUUUCAUUCUUUUGUCUUCCUGAAUCUGAUAGCCCUUCCCUUUCCCUGCUAUACAGUUUUAUCAUCUCUUUUUGUUGGGGCACUGUUUGCACAACAAAAUUUUGAAAUUAGCAUCUCUGAGAUUCGUACUUAUC
rnacentral:lncRNA from 1 species